AACGAACGCUGGCGGCAGGCUUAACACAUGCAAGUCGAACGCCCCGCAAGGGGAGUGGCAGACGGGCGAGUAACGCGUGGGAAUCUACCCAGUUCUACGGAACAACUGAGGGAAACUUCAGCUAAUACCGUAUACGCCCUACGGGGGAAAGAUUUAUCGGAAUUGGAUGAGCCCGCGUUGGAUUAGCUAGUUGGUGAGGUAACGGCUCACCAAGGCGACGAUCCAUAGCUGGUCUGAGAGGAUGAUCAGCCACACUGGGACUGAGACACGGCCCAGACUCCUACGGGAGGCAGCGGUGGGGAAUAUUGGACAAUGGGCGCAAGCCUGAUCCAGCCAUGCCGCGUGAGUGAUGAAGGCCUUAGGGUUGUAAAGCUCUUUCAGUGGGGACGAUAAUGACGGUACCCACAGAAGAAGCCCCGGCUAACUUCGUGCCAGCCGCCGCAGUAACAC
rnacentral:rRNA from 1 species